GAUUGAUGGUUCAGUGGUAGAAUUCUCACCUGCCUUGUAGGAGGCCUGGGUUCAAUUCCCAGCCAAUGCA
rnacentral:tRNA from 1 species